AGCGAACGCUGGCGGCAGGCUUAACACAUGCAAGUCGAGCGGGCACUUUCGGGUGUCAGCGGCGGACGGGUGAGUAACGCGUGGGAACGUGCCCUCUGGUUCGGAAUAACUCAGGGAAACUUGAGCUAAUACCGGAUACGCCCUUUUGGGGAAAGGCUUGCUGCCGGAGGAUCGGCCCGCGUCUGAUUAGCUAGUUGGUGAGGUAACGGCUCACCAAGGCGACGAUCAGUAGCUGGUCUGAGAGGAUGAUCAGCCACACUGGGACUGAGACACGGCCCAGACUCCCACGGGAGGCAGCAGUGGGGAAUAUUUGAAAAAUGGCGGAAGGCUGAUCCAGCUAUGGCGCGUGAGGGAUGAAGGCCUUAGGGUUGUAAAGCUCUUUUAUCCGGGACGAUAAUGACGGUACCGGAGGAAUAAGCCCCGGCUAACUUCGUG
rnacentral:rRNA from 1 species